UGCAAUGUUACUGACAAGGGUGUCGAA
rnacentral:sRNA from 1 species